CCUACGGGAGGCAGCAGUGGGGACUAUUGCACAAUGGGGGAAACCCUGAUGCAGCGACGCCGCGUGCGUGAAGAAGUAUUUCGGUAUGUAAAGCUCUAUCAGCAGGGAAGAAAUAGCGACCUUUGGGUCGCCAGACGGUACCUGACUAAGAAGCCCCGGCUAACUACGUGCCAGCAGCCGCGGUAAUACGUAGGGGGCAAGCGUUAUCCGGAUUUACUGGGUGUAAAGGGAGCGUAGACGGCAGCACAAGUCUGAAGUGAAAUGCCGGGGCUUAACCCCGGAACUGCUUUGGAAAUUGUGUAGCUAGAGAGCAGGAGAGGUAAGUGGAAUUCCUAGUGUAGCGGUGAAAUGCGUAGAUAUUAGGAGGAACACCAGUGGCGAAGGCGGCUUACUGGACUGUAACUGACGUUGAGGCUCGAAAGCGUGGGGAGCAAACAGGAUUAGAUACCCUUGUAGUC
rnacentral:rRNA from 1 species